rnacentral:lncRNA from 1 species
UUUAGCUCAGUGGUUCUGCUGCCUGCCUCUCAAGAGAAAGGACCCAAGUUCGAUCCCCGAUACCAAAAAAAAAAAAAAAAGAAAGAAAGCCACUUUGUUGUAGGUGCCCGGUUCAGAUUGUGUACACUCUAACAUCCUUAGUAUGAAACGGACAUAAGUCUAAGAGCUGCAAGAAGAGCACCAGCAAACCCACAAAUACAGGCUCGGUGUGGCACAGAAAGCAGGACUUGCAUGCAGUCUCUUAAAGCCUCCACAUUUUCACCCUAGAUGCCAGGAUGCAAGUUCCAG